GGAAGAGUGUGGGGUCCAUAAGAGACAUCUUUUGCCCCAUUUAAUUCAAGGGUUGACUGGAUCCUUGCCUAUUUCCUCACUUACCAUUCCAAAUGCAUCCUUCUUAAAGCUGUGGGCAUGUUGGAAAACAACAACCUCUUCCAGCGAAAUUGGGGAACUUUCCUUUAGUCAAGAUAUGCACGUCCCUGGGAUCCUUUGCUAGAGAUUUCAAAUAAGUUCCACAAAAGCUGUGCAAGCACGAGCCAAAGGACAGCCUUGGAAAGUGGACCAUGUAGAGGGAAUGGCUCAGAGUGGGUCAGUUUCUUAU
rnacentral:sRNA from 1 species